GACGAACCGUCCAAACGUUAUUCGGUAUCACUGGGCUUAAAGCGUGCGUAGGCGGCUUGGUAGGUGAGAUGUGAAAGCCCACGGCUCAACCGUGGAAUUGCGUUUCAAACCACCAGGCUUGAGGAUGGCAGGGGUGAUGGGAACUGAUGGUGGAGCGGUGAAAUGCGUUGAUAUCAUCAGGAACACCGGUGGCGAAGGCGCAUCACUGGGCCAUUUCUGACGCUGAGGCACGAAAGCUAGGGUAGCGAACGGG
rnacentral:rRNA from 1 species